AGAUUCGCCUGCAGUUAUAUAUACUGGAUUAUCAGGAUUAUGUGGGAACCCUUGUCGCAUUGAUAGAGGUGUAAGAUUCUUCCAGCUAGUCUGAUGUCCACAAAUGGAAUAAUUAAAAGAAUGGAAACCAA